rnacentral:sRNA from 1 species
CUCCUUAACCGUCUCAGCCAGUUCCACCAUUGU